rnacentral:lncRNA from 1 species
CGUCUACUUUUGGAAAUCAUGCUGUGAAGAGACUUGAUCUCAGGAUCUUUCUUGGAACUCUUGGAAACAGUGGUAAAGAAACCAUGGACCAAGUGGGCUGUUGGGCAGAGGAGUCCCCACGGAGUUGGCCCUUUAUGUAUAUUGCCUCU